UACGUAGGGCGCAAGGCGUUAGUCCGGAAUUAUUGGGCGUAAAGAGCUCGUAGGCGGUUUGUCGCGUCUGCUGUGAAAACUCGAGGCUCAACCUCGGGCUUGCAGUGGGUACGGGCAGACUAGAGUGCGGUAGGGGUGACUGGAAUUCCUGGUGUAGCGGUGGAAUGCGCAGAUAUCAGGAGGAACACCGAUGGCGAAGGCAGGUCACUGGGCCGCAACUGACGC
rnacentral:rRNA from 1 species